GACGAACCGUGCGAACGUUAUUCGGAAUCACUGGGCUUAAAGCGCGUGUAGGCGGGUGGGAACGUCGGCCGCUGAAAUCCCCCGGCUCAACCGGGGAAGGGGCGCCGAAACGGCCCGCCUGGAGGGACGUAGGGGGAGCUGGAACUUCCGGUGGAGCGGUGAAAUGCGUUGAGAUCGGAAGGAACGCCCGUGGCGAAAGCGAGCUCCUGGACGUUUUCUGACGCUGAGACGCGAAAGCCAGG
rnacentral:rRNA from 1 species